UACGUAGGGCGCAAGCGUUGUCCGGAGUUAUUGGGCGUAAAGAGCUCGUAGGCGGCUUAGCAAGUCGGGUGUGAAACCUCCAGGCUCAACCUGGAGACGCCACUUGAUACUGCUAUGGCUUGAGUUCGGUAGGGGACCAUGGAAUUCCUGGUGUAGCGGUGAAAUGCGCAGAUAUCAGGAGGAACACCGAUGGCGAAGGCAGUGGUCUGGGCCGAUACUGACGCUGAGGAGCGAAAGCGUGGGGAGCGAACAGG
rnacentral:rRNA from 1 species